UAGUGUUAGGAAAGUGUGCAUGUAUAUUUGUGAAAUGCUGUGGUUGUUGGGGGAUUCGGUUGGUUGUUGGUGUAGGGGUGUGAAGUGCUGAUAAUUGGGUAUCUAGAAGACACCCUUCAUAUCCUGUGUGUGUGUGUGUGUGUGUGUGUGUGUGUGUAGGGGUGUGUGUUCGUGUGUGUGUGUGUGUGUGUGUGUGUGUGUGUGUGUAUGUGUGUGUGUGUGUGUGUUGACACCCUUUGGUUAUUGGUGUGGGUGUUAGAAGUUAGGAUAUGUAAGUGUAAACCCCUUUGCUUUACUGGGGUGGUGUGGGGGGCAUUUUCUUCAUUGGGUAUUGUGUACCACCCAACACAUGGCCUCUUUUUAGUUUUCCCUCUGCUUGAGUGCCUAAAUGUUGACACAGGAACACUGAACUAAGGAGCAAACAACUUUCACAGAGAUGGUGUGCACUCAAAAGGAAAAGGGAAAAGGCAAAAACGCUCUCCUGUUAAAAUGUGACUACUAAGAGGGGCUGAAUCCCAGAAGACACCCUCCUUGGCACCUGGACUGGGGCAGCAUCCCGAGUCUCCUUCUGAUGCCUCUGACCUGUGCCUUCUAUGUGCAGGACACAGGAACAUUUACACAGAGUGGGAAGUGCCUGAAGGAAAGAUUACCAGAGGUUGCUGGUGACCUGCUGAGAGCAAGGAAAAGCCAAAAACAAGACUGUCUACUGGACAAUGGUCACUGCCACCUGAGGCUACAGAGCAUUUGAGCAAACUGAGGUCUGUGAGGGAAGACCACACUGGACUCUGAAGACACUGUAUGAGGUCAGACCAUAAGUGACCUGGAGACCCAGCUCUUCACCAGACACCAGCAUGCGAGUUUGAAGAUGUCCUGAGAGAUGACUCAUAAAAACAAAUAACGUUUCACACUAAAAGCUUUGGUCACAACAUUUGUUCUAACAUUGUUAGAACAAAAGCAUUUGUUCUAACAAUACUGUUUACUCAUUUGUUUGUCUAGAGACUGGGCCCUUUUCUGUAGCCUAGCUGCGUCUUUAUGUGAAUAGUGCUAUGUGACAGAUGCAGCCAGCAACUGCAGAAGGAUGGAAUCCCAUGCCAAGGGAGCAGCAGUGCCCACAGAGACAGCCUACAAGUCAAUGAAACUCCAAGAGACAAACUGUUGUCUUUGUGACAAGGUAUAGGGACAGGCUGCCCCAGUAACAGGUGCAGACUGGGAGCCAAGCUUUGGUUUGGUUUUGUAAGCAGAGUCUCAUGUAAUUUACAGUGUAGCAGAGGCUGAACUCCAAUCCUCCUGCCCUUGAGAGCUGGGGUUAUAGAGAUCCACCAUCAUGUGAAGAACUGGGAAUCAAGGAAGGAAGAAUAAAAGACUUUGAGGGGACCUGACACUAGCCAGGGAUGUGAAGUUAUGGGAUCUACCCUUGCACACAAUGCUCAGGCAAGCAGCCAGUGUUAGCUUCUCUGUGUGAACUUGGGAAGCUCCUGUCCACUCCCUAGGCCUCAGUCUCUCCAUCUGUCAGAGACUGAGCUAGAUGACAUACUGUCUGGAGUCUGCUGGAUUCUGGAGAUGACUCCUUCCAGAUGACUGAGAGUGAGCCCCAGGACUAGCUGGGUCUUUGGGGGAGAGAUAACCUCUCUCGUGUCGCCUGUAAGUGAGGACAAACGGCCCAGACUUUAAGAGUUGGUUGCUCUGGGAAUUCGUAGGAUAAUGCCACUGACAUACCUUGCGUGUGUCUACCACACAAGAAGCACUCAGUAAAGGCUGGUUCACGUUGUCGUCCAAGCCUUAAUAGUCCGACCGGCUGAUUGGCCAGUUCUGGGUCAACAGACUUCAGGUGCUCUGCAAUGCCUCCCUUGAAGCCCCGCCCCAACUUCCCACCUGACACACUCAAAGGAUGAUUUGAUCUGAGGCAGAGUCACCUUGAACUUGGCUUUUGAAGGUUUUGUUACCGCUGCAACUCAAUUCCCUGAUCGAAUG
rnacentral:lncRNA from 1 species